ensembl:lncRNA
CAUACAGACCCUGGACCAGCAGAUGAACAGCCCACUGGAACACAUACAGAGCCUGGACCAGCAGAUGUUUCUUCAGAACCUGGACCAGCAGAUGUUUCUUCAGAACCUGGACCAGCAGAUGUUUCUUCAGAGCCUGUAACAGCAGAUGUUUCUUCAGACCCUGGACCAGCAGAUGUUUCUUCAGAACCUGGACCAGCAGAUGUUUCUUCAGACCCUGGACCAGCAGAUGUUUCUUCAGAGUCUGUAACAGCAGAUGUUUCUUCAGAGCCUGGAACCUCUCUCUGUGGUGCUUCAUUCAUUGGGAGCAACUUAAAUCAUGGAGCUGCUGUCUCAACAGGUGUAUCUCAGCUGGCAGAGACUAACUGCGAGGAGCCUGUGUUCAUCAUCUCCCUGACUGAAAUUUCACCGUCCUUCAUAGAGACACUUCCCUCUGACACGGACACCCCCCUCUCACACACUGAGCUGCUCUACUGUAAUCCAGAACCUCUCCCAUCUCUUCCAGAAACUCUUUCCUCUGAUACGCAGAUACUCCCAUGUCUCAACGACACGCUCCCUCUUAGGACAGAAUCUCUGCCAUCUUUUUCAGAGAUGUGCUUAUCUCCCCCUGAGCCCCUCACAUCUCUCACAGAGCCCCAUAACUUGGUCACCGACAUCGUUCCUUCUCUGAAGGAGCCCCUACCUCCCAUUACAGAUGAUCUGCCCACUGUUCCAGAGCCUCUGUGUUCUCUCACAAAACCCAGUCCCGUGACGGCACAAUCCAACACAGGACUAGAAACACGAGGUAAUGGAGAUCUCUCGGAGGCUGACAGAAGAACUGUACCUCAUCUGCUGGUCACUGAUGCUCUGAUGCCUGUGCCAAACGAGAAGAAACAACCGGAGCGUUCCAUGGACAUCUCCUCACCACCAAAUCUCACGCUAGCGUCUUCAGCCAUCCAACCUGAUGUAUCAACUAACAUUGACCCGCCUCAGAAGAGCAGAGGGUAUGAUGGCGCUAGGAGAGGCAAGACACAAGUGCAACCAGGUCUGCCUUCAAGAAGGACAUCAGCUAAAUGCAUCUCAGCACAGGCCCUUAGAAGCCCUCCUGUUUCUCAAAUCUGCAAAACUCAUCAGCCAAGCUCUACACAAUUAGCAGGAGCAUUAUCGGAGACAUCUUCAGUACAUUUACCAAAAAGUCGAGUCAAAGGGAGACAGGCAAGGAUAAAGGAGGUCACAGUUGCUGCUUUGGGAGAUACACAGUCUUUCUGUCCCAUUACUCCUCAAGUUCCUGUUUCUACGAAUAGCGACAACCUUCAGACGGCUAAAGGAACAGUGUCUCACCUACUCAUUCCGGAUGCCCUGGUGCCGUGUGAUUUGGAUGCAGACGAUAGGGAUCAACUACACGACACGGGUGCAGCUCAAAAUGAAUCCACACCGCCAUUUUGGGAUAAGCCAAUUACGGACUGUUCCCCAGACAUAUCUUUUUGCACGAACACCAAAGCAAACUUGGAAACUUGUGUUGAAGACCUCUCAGAAAUCACGAUGGACCAGUGUCGUGUUCCCAGGACAGAAGAAGGAAUCCCAGUGGGCAUUGUUGUGGCUGAAAGGGAAUCUUGGCCUCUCCUUCAUGUCACUCCUAUGGAGGCCGUGGCCACAGUGAGCGAUUGGAGCGUCCCUGAGGAUGACGCUAGAGCGGUAUCUGCCAUGAUCAUCACUGAUGCCCUGGUGCCUGUAUCGGUAGAAACGGAGAAUAAACAAGAGCGUGAAGAGAAGAAGCGCACUAAGACGGAGAAACCUGAGAAUCUCACCACUACAAGCUCAACUCAUGAAAAUGUUGCCAGGUCAUCAGCACAGCUUGCUUCUGAUGGACUGACUGAAGAUAUAUCCCCGUUAAAGAAAAGAAGAUUGCUUGAGAGCACACGGAGAGCCAAGCUCCAUGUGAAACCAGCUUUGCCAGUACGCCGAAUUUCAUCUCAAAAUGCCUUGGCCCAAAAAUCCAUGCCACCACUCUCCUCGACCCAGAGUUCCUCUGCCAGCCACUCCGCUUCUGCCCAGCCCAACAGCACACCUUCGCCAGCAUCAGCAUAUAAACCUGCAUCAACGGUUGGUGGUGUGGGUGGAGGGGAAUCCCCAAUGGUCCAGCACAACACUCCAUCGGGGGCAACUCAUGCUAUGGCCAGACCUGGAAGAAAGCCAAAAGGCUUCCUGUCCUUCAUGUCCAGUAAGAGUACGUCUGGGGUGACCGCCACAAAACCUCAAGUCAAACCAGUACAAUCCAGGAGGAUGCCUAUAGCACCAAGGACCAUCUCCACGGCAACAGAACCUCAAGUCAAACCAGUACAAUCCAGGAGGAUGCCUAUAGCACCAAGGACCAUCUCCACGGCAACAGAACUAGCUACAUCCUGUAGUUCAUCAAAUACAAAUCAUUUACACUCCCUGAAUCAUGAGGUGAUCUCGUCUGAAUCAAGAGACUCCAGCGUCAGGCAUCACUCAGAGGAGCCCACAAGUAUAUCGGAGUACUUUCUCAGUAACAUCUUUACAGAGGUGGAGGAGAAGGACUGAAUUUGAAUGGGUGUCCAGCCUCGAUGAACAGAAGGCCUGUCUGAUGAAUGGAAACAGGCUGUAGGGAUUGUGAUGUCACAGUCUGAAGAUUCUCACAUUCCAUGAGGUCUGUCCAGUGUCUAGGAGCUGCCAGGGGGGAGUCAUGCCAGUCUGAAAUCACUUUCUGAUUGGUGGUAGCUAGAAUUCACUGUAAACAGGUUAUGGUAUGGAACUGUAUAUAGGUUAAUUUGUGCCGACCAGUAUGUGUGUAACUGAGGGCCGGGACACACUAUGUUGGGUACUCUAUCUCAAUCCCAGUCCCAAUUUUAAUUUAAUGAUGAAUUAGGCAGUCAUUCCUUUUCAUUUUGUGUGUUUGGGGAAAUUCGUGUAGAGAAUAAGAAUGAUGUUUUGGCUCUAAUGUGUAUUCUGAAGUUCUCCCUUGUUCCAGGUACGGGCAACAAUAGAGUAACAGAUUUUUGUGUAAAAAAAAAUCACUGUUCAUAUUUCUAAAUAAAGUGUCAGUGGUUUUCUCAUGCUUUUCUUUUAGUCAUUUUUUGGAUUUCAAUAUUUUACAAGAUUAUUAUUUUCUGCUGUCAUUGUUUCAUUGUUCCCGGCCUUCUCACACUCAGUCCUGUGUGCACAGACUAUAAAUAAAAUGUAAUAUUAAAUGACAUCUCAUAUCUCGC